UACAGAGGGGGCUAGCGUUGUUCCGAAUUACUGGGCGUAAAGAGCGCGCAGGCGGUCGUACAAGUCGCGUGUGAAAGCCCCCGGCUCAACUGGGGAGGGUCACGCGAUACUGAUCGACUGGAAGGCAGGAGAGGGUAGUGGAAUUCCCGGUGUAGUGGUGAAAUGCGUAGAUAUCGGGAGGAACACCGGUGGCGAAGGCGACAUCCUGGACCGGUAUUGACGCUGAGGCGCGAAAGCCAGGGGAGCAAAGCGGG
rnacentral:rRNA from 1 species